rnacentral:rRNA from 1 species
ACCUACUUAUUACGGCGGCAAUAAACCUUAUUAGAGGAACUUGUUAAAUAAUCGACAAUACACGAUGAAUUUUACUAAUUUUAGUAAUUUACAUAUCGCCGUCACGAGAACUAAUUUUAAAAUAUUAUUCUUAAUAUAAAAAUAAAAAGUCAGGUCAAGGUGUAGUUAACAAUUUAGAUUAAAUGAGUUACCUUAAAAAUAUUUAAGGAUUAGUUAAUAAUUAAUUAAUUAUUAAAAAGGAUUUAAAAACAAUUUUUUAAAACAUUUUAAAAUGAAAAAUAUUUUAAUGUGUACACAUCGCCCGUCGCU